GACGAACCGUGCGAACGUUGUUCGGAUUCACUGGGCUUAAAGGGCGCGUAGGCGGGUUGUCAAGUCAGGGGUGAAAGCCUCCAGCUCAACUGGAGAAGUGCCUUUGAUACUGAUGAUCUUGAGGGAGGUAGGGGCAUGUGGAACUUCCGGUGGAGCGGUGAAAUGCGUAGAUAUCGGAAGGAACGCCGGUGGCGAAAGCGACGUGCUGGACCUCUUCUGACGCUGAGGCGCGAAAGCAUGGGGAGCGAACAGG
rnacentral:rRNA from 1 species